CGGACGGGUGAGUAACGCGUGGGUAACCUACCCUGUACACACGGAUAACAUACCGAAAGGUAUGCUAAUACGGGAUAAUAUAUUUGAGAGGCAUCUCUUGAAUAUCAAAGGUGAGCCAGUACAGGAUGGACCCGCGUCUGAUUAGCUAGUUGGUAAGGUAACGGCUUACCAAGGCGACGAUCAGUAGCCGACCUGAGAGGGUGAUCGGCCACACUGGAACUGAGACACGGUCCAG
rnacentral:rRNA from 1 species